GACGGGGGGGGGCAAGUGUUCUUCGGAAUGACUGGGCGUAAAGGGCACGUAGGCGUGAAUCGGGUUGAAAGUGAAAGUCGCCAAAAAGUGGCGGAAUGCUCUCGAAACCAAUUCACUUGAGUGAGACAGAGGAGAGUGGAAUUUCGUGUGUAGGGGUGAAAUCCGUAGAUCUACGAAGGAACGCCAAAAAGCGAAAGGCAGCUCUCUGGGUCCCCU
rnacentral:rRNA from 1 species